rnacentral:rRNA from 1 species
UACGAGAGGCCCAAACGUUGUUCGGAAUUACUGGGCGUAAAGCGCGUGUAGGCGGCCCUGUAAGUCGGGUGUGAAAUCCCACGGCUCAACCGUGGAAGUGCAUUCGAAACUACAGGGCUAGAGUUCUGGAGAGGAAGGUGGAAUGCUUGGUGUAGAGGUGAAAUUCGUAGAUAUCAAGCGGAACACCGGUGGCGAAGGCGGCCGGCUGGACAGUAACUGACGCUGAGACGCGAAAGCGUGGGGAGCAAACAGG